rnacentral:rRNA from 1 species
AGCGACGCCGCGUGUGUGAUGAAGGCCUUCGGGUUGUAAACCCCUUUUCUCGGGGAAGAAAAAGGACGGUCCCUGAGAAAUAAGCCCCGGCUAAUUCCUGCCCAGCAGCCCGGUAAUACCGAAGGGGCAAGCGUUGCUCCGAAUUUCUGGGCGUAAAGGGCGUUGUAGGCGGCUGGAUAAUUCUGUUGUGAAACCCGCCGGCUCAGCUGGAAGUGGUCAAGGAAUACUGAUCGGCUGGAUUGCGGAAGAGGAAGGUGGAAUUCCCGGUGUAGGGGUGAAAUGCGUAAAUUUCGGGAGGAACACCAGUGGCAAAGGCGGUUUGCUGGACCGUUCCUGACGCUGAGGUCCAAAACCGUGGGUAGCAAACAGGAUUAAAUACCCGGGUAGUCCACGCCCUAAACAAUGGGCACUAAGUGUGGGGGGUAUCAACCCCCUCGGUGGCGGAGCUAAUUUAAUAAUUCCGCCUGGGGGGUAC